GUGGCUGAGUGGUAGAGCGCUUGGCUCAGAGCUGAGACGUUCCGAGUUCAAAUCUCGGC
rnacentral:tRNA from 1 species